CAGGUCUGUGGAUCCAGCUUGCUGUUCUGUCUUGCUUUUCUGUCCAUCUCCCUGCCACCUCAGUUUAUCUUCAUGUUGAGUCUUAAAACACAGAACACCAGAUAGAGUUACCCUGUUGCCAGUGGAGGAUAAUGGAACGGCUGUGGUUCUCUUUGCUGUUGCUGGCUGCAGCAUGCAGGGGACAGCCGUGUCCGAAACGCUGCAUGUGCCAGAGCCUUUCCCCAUCUCUCGCUAUCCUCUGCUCCAAGACAGGCUUGCUGUUUGUUCCUGCUGCCAUCGAUCGACGCACUGUGGAGCUACGGCUUCAAGAGAACUUCAUUACAGCUGUCAGAAGAAAGGACUUUGCCAACAUGACCAGCUUGUUGCAUCUAACCCUGUCCAGAAACACCAUCAGCCAGAUUCUUCCUUCUGCUUUUAGUGACCUGCGACGCCUGAGAGCACUCCACCUAGACUCUAAUAGAUUAACUGUGAUCAAGGAUGACCAUUUUAAAGGUCUGACCAACCUUCGGCAUCUGAUCCUGGCCAAUAACCAGCUUCACUCUAUAUCUCCCCAUGCCUUUGAUGACUUUCUGUCCACACUGGAGGACCUGGACCUUAGUUACAAUAACCUUGCCCAGGUGCCCUGGGACACAAUUGGACGCCUAACCAAUGUCAACACCCUAAAUAUGGAUCAUAACCUCAUAGAAAAUGUUCCCCAGGGAGUAUUCACCAACCUGCACAAACUGGCAAGGUUAGACAUGACGUCGAACAAGCUAAAGAAAAUUCCCCCAGACCCAUUAUUUCUGAGAAUCCCAGUUUAUGCCAAGUCCAAAGGCUCCCCCCUCUCCUCUCUUGUGUUGAGUUUUGGAGGUAACCCUCUUCACUGUAACUGUGAACUUCUGUGGUUGAGGAGACUAACCAGAGAAGAUGAUCUGGAAACGUGUGCCUCUCCCCCAGACCUUAGUGCCAAGUAUUUCUGGACAAUACCGGAAGAGGAGUUUAUUUGUGACCCACCAGUUCUAACACGAAAGUCACCUCAUACUGUGGCUAUGGAAGGUCAGCCUGCCAGUCUGAAGUGCAAAGCAAAUGGUGACCCUGAGCCUGAAGUCCACUGGAUCAGCCCUGAAGGGAGACUCAUAUCCAAUGGAUCUAGAACAUUAGUCUUCCCUAAUGGAAGCCUAGAGAUCAAUGUAACAUCCCUAAAGGAUUCAGGAAACUUCACCUGCAUUGCAUCAAACACGGCAGGUGAAUCCACAGGAAGGGUGGAGCUAGUCGUCACAGCAAUGCCCCAUCUGGCAAACAGCACAAGCCGCAGUCGAGAUCCUUCUUCUGAACCGGCCCCCUCUGACAUCCUGACCUCCUCUAAGGUUGCACUGCCCAACAACGAGACAAGAGGAGCAGACAGGAGGGUUUCAUUGGUGGAGCUGACAGGAAACUCUGCCCUCAUUAGAUGGAGCAGUCAAACCCCUACAUCUGGAGUCAGGAUGUUCCAAGUCCAGUACAACAGCUCUGGGGAUGACACACUCGUUUACAGAAUGAUUCCAUCCAGCAGCAACGACUUCCUGGUGCGGGACCUCGCUGCUGGACGUAGCUAUGAUCUUUGUGUCCUGGCCGUGUUUGAUGACGUCGUCACAUCGCUGACUGCAACUCGUCCUUUGGGCUGUCUGUCAUUUACCACAGACACAGAGUUCAGCCAGUGCCAAGCAUUGCACAGCCAUUUCUUGGGUGGUACUAUGAUCAUCAUCAUUGGAGGGAUUAUUGUUGCUUCUGUGCUUGUUUUUAUUAUCAUCCUAAUGAUACGAUACAAGGUUUACAGCCACCAAGGAGCAGGCCAUGGAAAAGCAGCCAUCACUGCGACUGCUCCAAGACCACAGAGCAAUGGACAAGGAGGCAGUCAGGUCCAAGUCCUUCCUCACUCUGCCUCAAAGAUAACUGACAGUCAUGAUGACCAAGUCCUCGGACCAUCCAGGGCAAUGUCGCCUAGCAACACUCUGCGAGACACUGUCACGUUGGUCGAGGAGGAGAGCAGUGGACGGAGCCUAAUGACAAGGACUGACUCGUCAGCGAACGAGGAGUUGCUGUCACCCACAAAGUCCCGCUUCUCCUCCAGGGUCGCCAUUGAGAUGAAAAUUCGACCGCCAUCUGUUGCCAAAGAGCCCACCUCUCCCAAAGAACUGGCAGAGCCCUGAUGUUGUUGUGUGAAGACUGGACGCUUCCCACUGGGAAAAGCUGGUGAAACCACCUGAAGAAUAAAGGCCCUAUAGCUUAUGUUCCUGUAUCUCACUGUACCCAUUAAUUUGUCGCCAUGAAUAUCACAGGGUUAUAGACCUGUAGUCUUCGGUUUACAUUCGAGUGCUUAUCCUGGUUCUCAUUUCUGGAUUGGACAACUGUGUCAAGGCCUGGUGUCUGCUUGGCUGCUGAUUGGCCAGCUGGUGCAGGAUCUGGCUGACAGUGUGACAUACCAAUCAGUUUUCAUGGAAGAGAUUUGUUUUUACUUUUUAGCAUCUCUACCAGUGUUGAAGCGGAGACGUAUAAAGGGGCAUAUGGAUAUGUUCAACAUAUGAAUGGACAAAAACUUCAACAUGCAUGGACAGAAAAGGCCGAACAGUGAGCAAGCAAGAUGAAUGCAUAGAUAAUCACAUUCAGCCUAGGAAUACAAUGUGAUAGACUGCACAAACAGUUAAAAAAAGAAUUAAAAAAAGCUACUGGAGGGGUCUGUUUUGGGCAUGAACAUACGCUGCUUUCUUGGCUCAAGGUGGCUCACCAGUUUUUAUCCCUGUGGAAUAAAAUAAUUCAAUUAAAUUGAACCAAGCAAAGCUGUUCCUGGGCUGAACUGGAGAUGGACAUUAACUCACCAGACCCUGAUAUUUCUUAAUAAAAAUGUUAUCCUUGGAAAGCAUAGUACAUAGUAAAACUUGAAUUGAAAAAACCUGGACCCAACAGGACUUUAACUAGAACUGUACAGUGAUCAGAGUUCUGAUACUGAUUAAACUGUACCAGAUUACCAAGGACUGGUUUGGGUCUAGUGUGUGUAUUCUGCAGCUCUGGCCUCUAUGUCUUCUGCUUUCCACUGGACAGGUGAGGACCUGAUGAACCUCCCUUACAUCUCUCCUCGCCCCCUUAAACAGACCCAGUGACCAGAAGGAAAGCCGCAUGUCUGAAGUCCAGAAAGACAAAUUAAUGGUUAAGAGAAAACAAGCAAAGUAGCAGGGUUCCAAAUCAUGAGUCAUUAUUGAUAUCAUCCGAGAUUUUUAUCCAAAACAUCAUCAACCUGAACCUUCAUCACAGAAUAAGUUUACAAGAAAAAGAGUUCUGCACUACAAAUCAGAAUAGUUUAAUGUGAAGAAAAAUGCUGUAUGACUGUAUAUUACUGCACAACUUACAUUGCUAAUAGCUCGGCUGUUGUCGUCUAGGCCUUGCACAUCUCCAUUAUCUCUUUCAUUAUUACCACAGUGGAGUGCAUUUACGUGCACACGGCAUGAGCGAUAACAGGCCACAUCUUACCUAAUGUUCUAU